UACGGGGGGAGCAAGCGUUGUUCGGAUUUACUGGGCGUAAAGGGCGCGUAGGCGGCCUCUGCAAGUCGACUGUGAAAUCUCCGGGCUUAACCCGGAAAGGUCAGCCGAUACUGCAGGGCUAGAGUGCAGAAGGGGCAACUGGAAUUCUCGGUGUAGCGGUGAAAUGCGUAGAGUAUCGAGAGGGACACCUGCGGCGAAGGCGGGUUGCUGGGCUGACACUGACGCUGACAGCGCGAAAGCUAGGGGAGCGAACGGG
rnacentral:rRNA from 1 species